GGAAGCACCCAGAUGGCAUUGAGGGCUGAGAAAUGGCAUCUGAUGGCACCUGGAGGUGCCCUGAUUGCAUUGAGGGCUGAGAAAUGGAUGUCUGGUGGCACCUGGAGCUGCCCUGAUGGCAUUGAGAGCUGAGAAAUGGCAUCUGAUGGCACCUGGAGAUGCCCAGAUGGCAUUGAGGGACAAAAAAUGGAUGUCUGGUGGCACCUGGAAGCACCCAGAUGGCAUUGAGGGCCGAGAAAUGGCAUCUGAUGGCACCUGGAAGCACCCAGAUGGCAUUGAGGGCUGAGAAAUGGCAUCUGAUGGCAGCUGGAUGGCACCUGGAGGUGCCCAGAUGGCAUUAAGGGACAAGGACUGGAUGUCUGGUGGCACCUGGAGCUGCCCUGAUGGCAUUGAGAGCUGAGAAGUGGCAUCUGGUGGAACCUGGAUGGCAUCUGGAGCUGCCCAGAUGGCAUUGAGGGCUGAGAAAUGGAUGUCUGAUGGCACCUGGAUGGCACUCUGAUGGCACUGAGGGCUGAGAAAUGACAUCUGAUGGCACCUGGAAGCGCCCUGAUGGCAUUGAGGGUCAAGAAAUGGCAUCUGAUGGCACUUGGAGGUGCCCAGGUGGCAGUGAGGGCCAAUAAAUGGCAUCUGAUUGCACCUGGAUGGCACCUGGAGGCGCCCUGAUGGCAUCGAGGGUCAAGAAAUGACAUCUGAGGAAACCCAAAUGCCACCUGGAGGCACCUGAAUGGCAUCAGGGGUCAAGAAAUGGGCAUCUGAUGGCACCUGGAGGGGCCCAGAGGGCAUUGAGUGCCAAUUUGUGGCAUCUGAUGGCACCCAGGUGGCACCUGGAGGCACCCAAACGGCAUCUCGGGUCAAUAAGUGACACCUUAGUAGGACUUAAUGGCACCCAAGUGGCGUCUAGAGACAAUAAAUGGCAUCUGAUGGCGUUUCCAAGU
rnacentral:lncRNA from 7 species